rnacentral:snoRNA from 1 species
UGCUGUGAAGACUUCAGACUAGCUGAGACAUGAUGAGGGGCCAAAGCUCGGAGC